ensembl:snRNA U6 U6 spliceosomal RNA
GUACUCUCUUAGAUAGCAUAUAUGUUAAAAUUAGAACAAUACAGGGACGAUUAGCAUUAUUAUGGCCCCUUAGCAGAGAUGACCAGCAAAUUCAUUAUAAAUGAACUUUAUUU